GCGCCUGUAGCUCAGUGGAUAGAGCGUCAGCCUCCGGAGCUGGAUGUCGCACGUUCGACUCGUGUCAGGCGCA
rnacentral:tRNA from 2 species